CAGCAGUCGCCGCGGUAAUACGGAGGGUGCAAGCGUUAUCCGGAUUUAUUGGGUUUAAAGGGUCCGUAGGCGGACUUAUAAGUCAGUGGUGAAAGCCUGUCGCUUAACGAUAGAACUGCCAUUGAUACUGUAAGUCUUGAGUAUAUUUGAGGUAGCUGGAAUAAGUAGUGUAGCGGUGAAAUGCAUAGAUAUUACUUAGAACACCAAUUGCGAAGGCAGGUUACCAAGAUAUAACUGACGCUGAGGGACGAAAGCGUGGGUAGCGAACAGGAUUAGAUACCCGCGUAGUCCCUGUCUCUUAUAC
rnacentral:rRNA from 1 species